AAUUCUCCAGUGAUAAGGAAAGUAAACUUCGCAUAAUUUUAGAGAAACUCUGGUUGGUGAAAAGAGUCAAUUAGUACAAGUUGAAAAUGGCCUUUGAGGAAUUUUUGGUGAUAAGUAAUCAAAAACGACUUGUCCUUCGUUAACAGGACCUCCGAUUUUUUGUCGGGUUGAGAGAGGAAUAAUUUCCUAAUAAAGGUGGUACCGCGUGCAUACGCCCUUUUA
rnacentral:ncRNA from 1 species